rnacentral:rRNA from 1 species
CCAGACUCCUACGGGAGGCAGCAGUGGGGAAUAUUGCACAAUGGGGGAAACCCUGAUGCAGCGACGCCGCGUGAGCGAAGAAGUAUUUCGGUAUGUAAAGCUCUAUCAGCAGGGAAGAAAAAAAUGACGGUACCUGAGUAAGAAGCACCGGCUAAAUACGUGCCAGCAGCCGCGGUAAUACGUAUGGUGCAAGCGUUAUCCGGAUUUACUGGGUGUAAAGGGAGCGUAGGCGGCGCGUUAAGUCUGAUGUGAAAACCCGGGGCUCAACCACGGGAGUGCAUUGGAAACUGGCGGGCUGGAGUGCCGGAGAGGUAAGCGGAAUUCCUAGUGUAGCGGUGAAAUGCGUAGAUAUUAGGAGGAACACCAGUGGCGAAGGCGGCUUACUGGACGGCAACUGACGCUGAGGCUCGAAAGCGUGGGGAGCAAACAGGAUUAGAUACCCCAGUA